UUGAUCCAGCUGGGAUCUCCCACUCACCCAAGCUCUCUUUCCCUCGACCCUCGCCCUUCCCUACCCCCAAUCAUGUCCAGGCUGUUCAUGUAGAUCUCAUUCCAUUUCUCUGUCAUUGGGCGAUCCCUGUGUCUUUCUUGGGGUCCUGUUUUCCAGGUAGCCUGCCUGGUGAUGUGGUAUGUACUCACUCAUAACAGGAUACUAGAUGUGGAACAAGGAUGACCAUUUCUUUCUUGACGUUUUACAUUGAGGUUGAAGGUCAGCUUUCUUCAGUCACUCUCUUGUCUCUCUACCCUCUCCAUUCUCUUUCUGAUUUAGAAUCUUCAGUACGCCAUCAUGUUCAUCAGUAAAUGGUGAAGGCACUGAAUAAACUUCCCAAGGACAGUGGGUGUUGCCACAACAUAAGUGACAUCACAGAGGAUGCCAGGGCUCUCCAGGAUACAAUAGAAUGUUUCGGGAAGAGCUGCAGAUGUCAUAGGAACUGAGAUUGCUAAGAGCUUUCCUUACACUAGAUGUCAAGUUGUCCUUUGCAGGAGCCUCUGCUGGGAUACAAGGGAAGCCCUUCAGCAUCCCCUUCAUCCAAAGCCAGAGAUCUCUCCCUGAUUGAUUGAACAUCCUCCAGUUCUUUCCCUGUGUAGAACUGAAUCUUUAUCUCCUACUGAAAUUUUAUGUACACAAGGACAUGAAACAGGCCCUUUUGAGCUACAUGAAAGGUUAUCCAAGGAGAAUAAGGUAUGAAAUAGCCACAGGUUCGAACUUUGCUGACAGACUCAUCCAAGCAUCAGUUGUUAAUGACAACCUGCUCCAUGUGACUAUGAGCCCUGAACUUCAUGAAAGCUGAUAUAAACUAAUCCAACUGAUGCAAAUACUGUUUCUUCAACUGGUCAAUGAACCAGAAGUUUCUAAAUAGCCUCCUUAACUUUGACUAACGUUCUAACCUUCCAAGGCCCUGACAAUGUCUGGGACAAGGUCAGAAUCUCUAAGGACAGGCAACUAGAUCAUCUUAUAGUCAGGUUGCCUAGCCACAGGACAUUGAGGCAGAGCCCUUGACACUUUCACCCUGUAAACAUCCUAUACAAACAUCCUGUUAGCCUGCCUCACCUUAUGCAAAUAACAGCUUCUUGCUCGCCCCACCCUGCAGGAACUAUAUAAACUCUCUUGGAGAAAAAUAAAG